rnacentral:lncRNA from 1 species
UAUAUUUCCAACCCCCCAAUUCCAUUCAUUUCUGAAAAUUACAGCAAAAGCAAAUGAUGUAUAUUCCCUUUAAGUUACAGUUGCUUUCCCAAUAUGCUCUCCCACGAAAACGGUGUUUUCUUCAAAUUAAUUUUUUUUUUCAAUCUAAACGCUCAGACAGACCCACCUAUAUUAUUGUCGAGCGGCAAAUAAUACGAAAUUUGCAAAGUAAUCAGUACUUAAUGCUCUCUUUUUUUUCUCUCUUUUUUUAGCCAUCAUUCAAAACUGAAUAACUUUAGUUUUGCUAGAAAAUAGCGAUUAGAAGCUCGAAAGCCAUAAUAAUAAUAAGAAGAAGAUAAUAAGGAGCCGGAUGGGAAUUUUCCCGUGUUUUCUCCCAAAAGGGUUUUCGCAGGGUUUUCGCCCCUCCCGUAAUCGGCGAAUAUAGUUACAGCAAUAUUUUUUUUUCUUUUCUUGAUGUUAGAAGAUAGAUCCAAAUUGUUCGUGUUCACUUAAUCAACUUUAUAGUAAAGCAUUCACACUGCACAUGUAGUAAUAAUAGUUUUAAAAAUAUAUUGUAUUUAUAAUAUUUGCUUAACACCUAUGCAUUAUUCAAAUAAUGUUUUAUCUCACUGUAUUGAAUUUUAUUGUACUUGAAAUGCAUUGUAUAAUUAUACAUGUUUGUAGUAAUUAUUUAUUGCAUCCAGGGCCCCAGUGGAAACCAGUUUUAAACUGUUUGGGCAUACCCUGGGUAAAGAAAUGGAAUAAAUAAAUAAAUAAAUAAAUACAGAACUUUGCAAGGACAGCCAGAACCCUUCUCUCUUUGCUCGUAUUCGGUAGGCUGAUAGAAUUUACAGCUUGCAUUGUGCUUCACAUUUAUAAAUACUGUGGACAAAAGUCCAAGUCUCAACCUUGAUUUUGGGCAAAUAUUGGUAUUCGAGAUAAUUGUGCAAAAAGUAUUACUGACAAAAGUAUAAAGUAUUUUGUGAAAGUUUAUAGUCUGUAAGAUAAAUGUAAGGUUAUUUCUAACCUUUAACUGUUAUUAAUUAUGAAUUUCGUUUUGAAGCUUAAAUUUAGGCUACAUAAUUAUAUUGGAUAUCAUUUUCUAUGGCUCACUUGAUGCCGGUAUGUAUUAUUGAUGUGGUACUGUAGGCCUACAUGCUUCAAUAACUUUUCAGAGCGUUACCCAUAUUAUUUUUGUGUCACAUUCUCGUGUAUGAAUACUAUUUAUAUCCUCGAUGUACCGGUUUUCGAGGUUGAAAAGAUUCAUUCCAAGCAAGAGACAAAACCCCGACAUAGCCUGCGGUUUCCUUUUUUUUUGGCUGGCGGUGGAACGAACCGAACCGAACACACAUAAAUCAACUUGUUGCAUGGUACGAAUCUGCGCGAGUGUGGCGCUACAAGGUCAAACCAUGGUCAAACCUCGACAACUUGAUGCCUCGAAAACAGGUACAGUCCAGUCUCGUUAUAACAAACUUAUUUGUUAUAUCAGCAUUUUGUAUAAAGAGGAACAUCAGUCCCAUUCAUUAAUGCACAGUCGGGACUAAGGCUUUAUGUUUGUUAUAACCAGAAUUUUGUAUUAACAGAGUUUGUACUAACGAGAGUCGACUGUACACGGACGUCGAUGCAUGUAUAUAACCAUAGCUCUAUGGUAGAGCAAUGUAUUUACUUUAAUCUAUGUUUUCAUGAAACUAUUAAUUAAUGUAAAUUAUAUCUACUUCCAAAAUAUUAAA